CCUACGGGUGGCAGCAGUGAGGAAUAUUGGUCAAUGGACGAGAGUCUGAACCAGCCAAGUAGCGUGAAGGAUGACUGCCCUAUGGGUUGUAAACUUCUUUUAUAUGGGAAUAAAAUUCUUCAUGUGUGGGUUUUUGUAUGUACCAUAUGAAUAAGGAUCGGCUAACUCCGUGCCAGCAGCCGCGGUAAUACGGAGGAUCCGAGCGUUAUCCGGAUUUAUUGGGUUUAAAGGGAGCGUAGGUGGAUUUUUAAGUCAGUUGUGAAAGUUUGCGGCUCAACCGUAAAAUUGCAGUUGAAACUGGGAGUCUUGAGUACAGUAGAGGUAGGCGGAAUUCGUGGUGUAGCGGUGAAAUGCUUAGAUAUCACGAAGAACUCCGAUUGCGAAGGCAGCUCACUGGACUGCAACUGACACUGAGGCUCGAAAGUGUGGGUAUCAAACAGGAUUAGAUACCCGGGUAGUC
rnacentral:rRNA from 1 species